UCACCUUUGCCAACACUCUGGCCCUUACCAUCCUGUUUUCCGGGAAAUAUCACCCACGGUAAAGGCCUAUUUUGGUGCAAAGAAGAUAAAAGAUCUGACCAAUUACUCACCGCGGUAUCUUUUUGGAAUUUUGAGCCCUUCUUUCCCCGUUCGCACGGGGAGGGAGGGGCUUGAUUCUGUGGAUAUGGUGGUCCAUAUUUUAUGGUCUACAU
rnacentral:snoRNA from 1 species